CAGGGAGCGAGGAAGACGGAUGGUGCCAUCCCAGAGAGGACUCGACAGCUGAAGACGGGCCCAUGGUGGGUUCCGGAGGUUUGCGAAGAUGGCCCCUCGGUGUGUGCCAGAGGUCGGAGGGAAGAUGAAGAGGAGAAAGUGCCAAUGUUAGUUGACAAUGCAGAACGCGACACCUGUUUAAACCAGAAUCUGUAGUUCCUAUAUGUAAAGGCUUGUUCUUGUGUGAUGCUGUUUUAGCGAUGGAUCCAUAUAUUGUUUUGAGAUGGAUGCAAUGCCUCUUCAGUAGCUAUAACUUGCAUGUUUUAAAUGGCUUGGGUAUUAAAUCGAGCAGGAGUUUGAGACUUUUGUAAUGGAUUGACUGAAGAACGAGUGAUGGAGAAUCUGAUGGAUUGCUUGAAGAAAGUUUACAAAAUUACCCCUGGUUUGAAGCUAAUGAUGUCACCUCGCUGUCGCACAAGCAAUAUAACUGAUCCGUGUAUGUUAACUUAAACAUAAUAAGAUGUCCGUGGAUUGUCACCUUGUCAUGGUGGAGAUGGUUGUGUGGUCCUGCAAUCCUGAGAGCGAUGCCGUAUGGAGGUAUGCUACUGCUAGGGCCACCCAUGGCGGUAUGGUCGAAGGGGAGGUCCCUGCUAAGAACAAUUCAACCAAGACCUCAUUGGUGGAACAGGCGGAGGAUGAUGGCUGACUUUAGUGGAGUGUCACAACGGCUGGGAAGGCAGAUGAAGGCUGCAGCAGAAAAAGGUCCCCAGUCGUCUUGUACUCCAUGCCACUGGAUCCUGACCCAGAUCUGUCAAGGACCGUGCAGUAGCUGUGACCCAGGUUCGAUCCUGACUACGAGGGCUCUCUAUGGAAUUUGUUCGUUCUCCCCGUGACUUGUGUCGGUUUUCUGAGAUGUUCAGUUAACUCCCACACUCAAGGCGUACAGGUUUGUAGGUUAAUUGGGUACGGUAAAAUUAUAAAUUGCUCCAGUGCGUGAUAGUGAUAGUGUUACUGUGCGGGGAUCGUUAUUGUAUAGACUCGGUGAGCCGAAGGGCCUGUUUUUGUGCUGAAUCUCUAAACUAAACUAAUUCACUCUCUCUUGUGCCCUUGCCUCUGUCUCUGUCUCCGAUUUCACCAAUGGAUACGGAGGACCUCCACUCCCAGUAACCUUCCUCCUCAACCCUCCUAUGCUGUCUUGGGUAAGCAGAAGUUACCAGUCGUCUAUAUUGAUGGACCCAUGCUCUCAGAUCUUAGCUAUCAUGGACCUUCUGUGGGCCAAUGAGCUUAACAUGGCCAAUUUGCACACUGACAGUUGCCGUCUUGCCUGAGGAGAUCCAGAGCAUCUGCAAUCUUCCCUCGCUCAAUCCAAUAAAGCCUCUGCUGGGUUUGAUCCAGAGUACGAGGCAGUGCCCUAACCAUUAGAGAUUGAUGCCAUGUUGAAAAUAAUCUCAAGUAUUCUGAAAGGAAUGGAUGGAUCCUGCUUCUUAUUGCUCCCUCCAACAAGAUGGUGGUGGUACGCUUCAUCCUCCAGAUCACCGCUACAGCAGUCUGCAGUACCAUCGGGCAGCUCAUUAUGAUGAUGGUAGCUGGAAUCACCAGGACAAUGGUCCAGACUUCCAAUUUGUACAUUGACAUCAUUGAAACCGCCUUAUUGGGUUAAAGCACAGAAUGGAUUUAGAUGAAUGGAAAUAAUAUGAGUCCCUGAAUUCCAUCAUCACCAAAAAAGCAUACCAUUGUUUCUACUUCCUCAGGAUAUUUGACAUUAAUUUAAAGACUUUUACCAAAAUCUACAGUUGGAACUGUAGAAAACGUACUGCCGGGUUGUAUCACUACUUAGUUUGGGAACAGCUUUGCCCAAGACCACAAGAUAUUGCCGAGUUGUGGAUCUCUCCAGCACACGGGCCAGACUUCCCACCAUUAACUACAUCUACACUUCACUCUCUUGGGAAAGCAGCCAACAUAAUCAAAGACCUUUUCCACCCUUGUCAUUUCCACUAUUCCCUGCUUCCACCACAAAGAGGAUAUGAUAUAAAAGCCUGAAAGUGUAUACCUUCAGACUCAGGAACAGCUUCUUCCCCUGUUAUUUGAAUUCUGAAUGGUCCUUCCAGAAGCUAAGAUAAAUUUCCUAAUUUCCAACCAACAUCAUUGUGAACAUUGGACUUUUUCUCAGAAACGAUUAUGCCACAAUGUUGAGAAACUGUAUGCUGCACUAUGCAUGUUUCUCCUCUCUCUACGUAUGGUGCUUGUGUAUGGCUUGAUUGUAUUUAUGUACAGUAUUACCUGAUUUAAUUCGAUAGUAUGCAAAAAAAAGCUUUUCACUGUAAAUCAGUGUACACAACAAUAAAGCAAUUUAAACUUGUUUUGUGUGCAACAGUAGAUGACUUCACAUUGCCCAUAUUAUAUUAUUUCUGUUGUGUUCUGGCCCACACACUCAGCUUGUUUCUAUCCCUUUAAAAACUCUUUACAUCUUUCUCACUGUUCAAACAUUUCCCAAGUUUUGUAUCAUCAGUAAAACUGGAAGUGCGAUAUUUGGCUGCCUCAUCCAACUAGUUGAAGAAGACCUGUGUUACCCCACCUAUUUACUCCCAAUCCUUGGUUUCAGCCUGUCAGCCAAUUCUCAAUAGCCAGCAGUAUACUACACUAAUCACAUACCUUCUGAAGUUCUAAAUGUACCACUGCCAUUGUCUAUUUAACCAACCAUAUCCUCAAAUAUCUUCAAAAAAAUUAACUAUGCACUUUUCUGGAUUAAAUUCCAUUAACUAUUGAUCAGACCAUUUGCCCAACUGAUUUAGAUCCUGCUGUUGUUUUUGAUAACAAUUUUCACUGUCUAUGAUACCACACACGUUAGUGCCAUCUGCAGACUCCCAGUCCCAAAAGGCCACUCCAUUACAACUUGGCUGCUUAAUUAGUCCAUUUUGAUCACUUUAGCAAGUCUACGGCUGUCUUGUAAUCCCUUGGGAAAGCAGCCAACAUUUGUACUUUUUCAUUCCAUAACUUAGUUCAUCAGGCACCAUCUCCACCUCCCAAAAUAUUUGAGGAGAUUGGGCCAUUGUUUUGUGAUAAAUGGGAAUAUUUAGAAAUGCUAACAACAUCUUCGAAACUGCACAUUAUUAGUCUGAGGUUGAAACUGUUAGGUCGUUUGGCCCAUCAAGUCUACUCCGCCAUUCAAUCAUGGCUGAUCUAUCUCCCUCCUACCCCAUUCUGUCUUUUCCCCAUAACCUCUGACACCUGUAUUAAUCAAAAAUCUCUAUCUCUGCCUUAAAUAUCCACUCACGGCCACCACCUUAUGGCGCAAAUAAUUUCACAGAUUUACCACCCUCUGACUAAAGAAAUUUCUCCUGGUCUACCUAAAAGUCCUUUAAUUCUGAGUCAAUGACCUCUAGUCCUAGACUCUUGCACUAGUGGAUACAUCCUCUCAACAUCCACUAUCCAAGCCUUUCCCUAUUCUGUAUGUAUCAAUGAGGUCUCCCUUCAUUCUUCUAAACUCCAGCAAGUACAGGCCCAGUGCCGCCAAAUGAUCAUCAUAGUGCCUCAUUACUGUGAAGAGUAAGCCACGAUUGAAUGGCGCAGUAGACUUAAUUAUCCACACUGAACAAGAAUUUGACAAAAUGGUGUAUUAGACGAGUGAAAAAAAUGUUUUUACCAUUAUUAAAUAAUCAGAAAACAUAUUGGGUCUUGAUAAACCCAAGUGCUUGUAACCAGCAGAAAUCUAAUGAAAGGAGCUGAAAUCUGCCAAUUUUUUAUUGCUGAUCAUGAGGAUAAUAAAAAUUGCUGGAAUUUUAGUUUAGAGAUAUAGUGAGGAAACAGGCCCUUUUGGCUCACCGAGUCCGGACCAAUACCCACACACGACCACUAUCCCACACACUAGGAAAAUAUUUAAUUCAUACCACGACAAUUAACCUACAAACCUGUAUGUAUUUGGAGUAUGGGAGGAAACCAAAUAUCUUGGAGAAAACCUACACAGAGAGAACGUACAAACUUCGUACAGACAGCACCCGUAGUUCAUUGAGGCCAGUUCAUUGGCUAUAUUUAAGAGGGAGUUAGAUGUGGCCCUUGUGUCUAAAGGGUUCAGGGGGUAUGGAGAGAAGGCAGGUACAGGAUACUGAGUUGGAUGAUCAGCCAUGAUCAUAUUGAACUGCGGUGCAGGCUCGAAGGGCCGAAUGGCCUACUCCUGCACCUAUUUUCUAUGUAGUCAGGAUCAAACCCGAGCCUCUGGCGCUGUAGGGCAGUAGCUCUAAUGCAGCGCCACCGUG